rnacentral:lncRNA from 1 species
GGUUCAGAUUUCAGGGCCGUUUGUAUUGUGGUGGUUUCUUUAUGUUCAAGGUUAUCCACACCAGGCAGAGGACAAACUCCACUCCUGGCCUUCCUGCCCAGCUAGAUUUAAGGAUUGUAACCAGGACAGUGAGUCCCUUCUGGGAAAGGGGCCUCGUGGAGGUUAUGAAAUCCAGCAGGUCAUGGAAGGAGAAACGAUUGACAAUCCAGACGGGAUGGAGGCAGGAGUUGGCUCAGUAACCCCAUCUUUCCUAUCCACCAGCACUCCCCUGCGCUUCCCAAGUGAUUUAAUUAUCCAUUCUUUAACUGCAACUCGGUUAGCCCUGAAAUUUGGGUGAAGAGAAAUCAGACACAGCAACUAAAAUAUUCCAGCAUGCAAACUUGAUCUCUUCGAUUGACUACCCCACCCAAAAGCUGUGCAGAAAGCCCCCUAGCACGUACACUGAUUUGGACUGGAAACUGGAGCCGCCGUCGCUGUGAAGAGAUGUGAAGUGACCAGACUUCCAUGUGUGAUGAUUAAUUUUAUGUGUCUACUGGACUAGGUUAAGGGAUGCCCAGAUGGCUGGUAAAACAUUAUUUCUGGGUAUGUCCGUGAGGGUAUUUCCAGAAGAGAUUAGCAUUUGAAUCGGUAGAUUGAAUAAUGUUUGCCUUCACCAAUCCAGGUGAGCGUCAUGUCAUCCACUGAGAGCUCAAAUAGAAAAAGGUUUAGGAAGCAUGAAUUUGCUGUCUGCUUGAGCUGGAACAUCACCUUCUCUUGCCCUCAGGCAUCAGCACUCCUGGUUUGGGGGACUUAGGAUUCAGACUGGGACCUAUGCCAUUGGUUUCCCUGGUUCUCAGGCCUCUGGGCUUCAUUGGACUGGAACUAUACUACCAGUUUUCCUGGGUCUUCAGCUUGCAGAUGGCAGAUUGUGGAACUUCUCAGUCUUCAUAAUUGUGUGAGCCAAUCCCCCAUAAUAAAU